rnacentral:misc_RNA from 1 species
CUGUAUUUUGGUAGCUUUGGUUCAAGGCUUUUCUGAGUUCUUUUAUUUGUCAUAUUCAAGCUAUUUAUAAACAGGAAGCUACUUGCAUAUGUUCUAUUCCAUUUUAACAUACCAUUGACCUAAUUUUAUGCAACCGUAUAUAGUUUUUUGAAAUAAACAUAAUUGGUUCACAGUUAUUUUGAUGUAAUGCUUUAGGCGUAUACUGAAAGUGCAAAAAUCAUUGCAGUUACUCUUCAUUUUGUUCUUUUGG